rnacentral:rRNA from 1 species
GUGAGGAAUUUUCCGCAAUGGGCGAAAGCCUGACGGAGCAAUGCCGCGUGAAGGAUGAAGGCCUAUGGGUUGUAAACUUCUUUUCUCAGAAAAGAAUUAUGACGGUAUCUGAGGAAUAAGCAUCGGCUAACUCUGUGCCAGCAGCCGCGGUAAGACAGAGGAUGCGAGCGUUAUCCGGAAUGAUUGGGCGUAAAGCGUCUGUAGGUUGUUUAAAAAGUAUUCUGUCAAAGAUUAGGGCUUAACCCUAGAUAGGCAGAAUAAACUUUUAAGCUAGAGUUUGGUAGAGGCAGAGGGAAUUCCCGGUGGAGCGGUGAAAUGCGUAGAUAUCGGGAGGAACACCAAAGGCGAAGGCACUCUGCUGGGCCAAUACUAACACUGAGAGACGAAAGCGAGGGGAGCAAAUGGGAUUAGAAACCCGUGUAGUCC